GACGAACGCUGGCGGCGUGCUUAACACAUGCAAGUCGAACGGAAAGGCCCUGCUUGCCGGGUACUCGAGUGGCGAACGGGUGAGUAACACGUGGGUGAUCUGCCCUGCACUUCGGGAUAAGCCUGGGAAACUGGGUCUAAUACCGGAUAGGAGCCAUUUUUAGUGUGAUGGUUGGAAAGUUUUUUCGGUGUAGGAUGAGCUCGCGGCCUAUCAGCUUGUUGGUGGGGUAAUGGCCUACCAAGGCGGCGACGGGUAGCCGGCCUGAGAGGGUGGACGGCCACAUUGGGACUGAGAUACGGCCCAGACUCCUACGGGAGGCAGCAGGGGGGAAUAUUGCACAAUGGGCGCAAGCCUGAUGCAGCGACGCCGCGGGGGGGAUGACGGCCUUCGGGUUGUAAACUCCUUUCGCUAGGGACGAAGCUUUUUGUGACGGUACCUAGAUAAGAAGCACCGGCUAACUACGUG
rnacentral:rRNA from 1 species